UUAAAAAAAUUAUCACUUGUUAUUCUAGAGAUUGUGUUUUAACGACUUGUUUUUUUUCUGUAUAUAGACUUGCUUUGAGAUGAUAUGCUUGGAUUCAAUGGACAAACUACUUGUAGCAACCAGACAUGUUUUUAUUUCCAAGAAUGGUUGUAAUGAGCUGGUCAAAAAAUUCAUGGGACACAGGGUGCUAACAAUGGUUUAUAUUAAAACAUAAUAAAUGUACAUGGAGAAGGUAAAUCAAAGGGGAAAUGUGGAGAAGCAAGGUCUCCAAUCAUGAUUCUUUCGCGUGGUUACGGAAAUGGGUCGUUUGUAGAAAGAGUAAGGGAUGCCAUUUAAACAUAUUAAAUGAAGAAGGAGACAAAAAAUAAGGAUUCAAAACCUGGAGAAUUGGAGCCCCUUUAAUGUUUCCUUCCCUUGGCUGUGAAAAGUGCGAUUUUUAAAAAAUAUGUGCAGUCCGAUUUACGCUGAUGCAUAUACGAUUGCAAUGGGAUGUGUGGAAUAAAUUUCGAGUACCGUAGAGUAAUCCUCCAGCAUAAAUCUAUGUUAUCGUGCAUCUAUGGGGUUCUCUUUUAACUAUCUAUUGUCCAGUAUAUAAAUUGACAUCGUACAUCUACUGUUAUUUCUAUAGCCUCUAUGACGAAUAAAAUUGACAUCUCGUCGCCAUUUUAUAAUCGUCUGACAAAUGGGAGAGAAUUAAAGUUCAGAUUGGUGGUACUGAAACAAUAUUUACAAUGGUGCUGCCUUUGGUGUAUUACAAUCUUGAUUAGCUGUCUUCACCUUGCAACAUUAUGCAGUUAAUUUUCAAGUGAUGAGUGAGAGCAACUGAAGAUUUAUGCGAAUUCUACUGAAAUAACAAAUUUUCUGCAUUGGCAUUCCUCUUGGAUUUGAUUUGCUUUUCACAUCUGCAAACUUUAGAACAUUACAGUCUACAGUUAAUUAAGAUCGACGUUGGAGAAGACAAAGAUGACCCCAUAGUUAAAAUAGUUCUCUAUCUUGCAUGCUUUAUGUAGUAGAAGUCAUCAAGUUCAUUUUAUUCAAAUUAGUUUUUUAUUUUGCAUGUAUUUUUGUAGUUUAUUUGUUUUUUAAAUUAAUUUUUAUUU
rnacentral:lncRNA from 1 species